AACGAACGCUGGCGGCAUGCCUAACACAUGCAAGUCGAACGAGACCUUCGGGUCUAGUGGCGCACGGGUGCGUAACGCGUGGGAACCUGCCCUUAGGUUCGGAAUAACUCCCCGAAAGGGGUGCUAAUACCGGAUAAUGUCUUCGGACCAAAGAUUUAUCGCCUUUGGAUGGGCCCGCGUUGGAUUAGCUAGUUGGUAGGGUAAAAGCCUACCAAGGCGACGAUCCAUAGCUGGUCUGAGAGGAUGAUCAGCCACACUGGGACUGAGACACGGCCCAGACUGCUACGGGAGGCAGCAGUGGGGAAUAUUGGACAAUGGGCGAAAGCCUGAUCCAGCAAUGCCGCGUGAGUGAUGAAGGCCGUAGGGUUGUAAAGCUCUUUUACCCGGGAUGAUAAUGACAGUACCGGGAGAAUAAGCUCCGGCUAACUCCGUG
rnacentral:rRNA from 1 species